ACUAAAAUUAACAGAGAACAACACAAGAGAUUUAUACUGGUUCACCCAAACACGGGCUAGUCCAGUCCCAACCAACUGCCGGAAUUCACUCGCCUAAAGGUAAUGGCAAAACCUUAGAGUAUCAAGGAAACUCUUAAGAACCUCUCUAAGCUUUAAGGCUAAUUCGCUUAGGAACCAGUCUUUUACGGGUAGACUCACACCUUAGAGUAUCAAGGGCACUCUUAAAAACCUCUAACUUUUACGGGUAAGUUAGUACCUUAGAGUAUCAAGGAACUCUUAAAAACCUCUCUAAGCUUUAAGGCUACUUCGCUUAGGAACCAGUCUUUUACGGGUAGACUCACACCUUAGAGUAUCAAGGGCACUCUUAAGAACCUCUAACUUUUACGGGUAAGUUAGUACCUUAGAGUAUCAAGGAACUCUUAAAAACCUCUCUAAGCUUUAAGGCUACUUCGCUUAGGAACCAGUCUUUUACGGGUAGACUCACACCUUAGAGUAUCAAGGGCACUCUUAAGAACCUCUAACUUUUACGGGUAAGUUAGUACCUUAGAGUAUCAAGGAACUCUUAAAACCCUCUGAAAUCUUUAAAGGUAGACUCAACCUAAGAGUUUUCCCGGAAACUCUAUAAAACCAAACUAGAGCUUUAUGGUUGAGCUCACAAACCCUCUCUCACACUUUGGUACUAUUGAGACAACCCUCUCAACCAAAGUGGACACACACAAGAGGUGAUUAGAGGAGUGGAAUAUUAAAGCAAACAACACUUCUUACUUGUAAAGAUGAAUAAAAAGAUUAGAAGAAGAAGUUGGAGAGCUUUUGAAGCUUUGGAAAGCUAGGACACUUGAGCACUUGAAAGCUUGGAGGCAAAAACGUGUGGGCAAGUGUGGAGUGAAAGCUCUUGAAUUUGUUUGUAGUGUGGUGAGUGAAAAUGAGGGGAUUACCCUUCUAUUUAUAGCCUUGGCCACUCAAUGUCCACCCUUGGAUCUUCAAUGGAUGGCUCCUUGAUUUCUCACAUAAAUCCAAGCUUUGUCUUUGAUCUUAUCUUGAAUAGUGUUUUUCUUGGAUAGAGUUUGUUGGAGAAUCUUAUCUUUGUAUAAAUUCAAACUUGAAUAGUGUUUUGUCCCAUUGGAAUAUUAUACCUUGAAUAAAGUGUCAAAAGAUAAUAAUAAUAAUAUUCAAGGUAAAAAUGCAAUUAUUCCAAAUAAUAAUAUUCAAGGUGAAAAUGCAAUUAUUCCAAAUAAUAAUAUUCAAGGUGAAAAUGCAAUUAUUCCAAAUAAUAAUAUUCAAGGUGAAAAUGCAAUUCUCCCAAUUUGACUUUUAACUUUGACUUAAACCCUUAACUCAAAUGAUUAAUUAAUUAACUGGAGUUAGGUUUAAUAUCGAUUGACUUAUUUAACCCCUAUUGAUUAAUAGUGUAAUUAGGGUUUAAAUUGACAUGAUUAAAAUAUAAUCCUAUGUCGACAAUUUUGAUUCUACAUUCUCCCCCUUUGUCGAUGGCAUAUAUGUUUUAACUCAUGUCUAGUCAAUAUUCUAUUUUACCCUUAUGAGCAUGCUCCCCCUGAAUUAUUGACCCAUAAUAUUCAAUUUAAAAGCAGUGGAUCAUGCAUGAUUUCUCCCCCUUAAAACAAUAAGAUAUCGACAAAGUUAAAAAUAGAUACCUGUGAAGUAUCUCCCCCUUAAUGAUAGGACAUAUCUAAUUUGUGGAGAAAAUAAAAUUUCAUACCUUAUUGAGCUUUGAUCACAAAUUCGAUUUGUGUGGUUGACCAAAUGUGACUUCUUGCUUAUAAGAGUGUUAGUCAAUCAUAAAGGAGAAAUAACAUGUAAUUUAUGCUCAUUGAUAAAAUAUUGGAUUGAAGCCAAUUUUGAUAUACAUUAUAAGGCAAGUAUGAUAUGAUAAUUUAAAUUACCUUGUGUUAAGAUCAUGCAAUGAAUAAUAAUCCAUGUGUGUGUUAUGGAUGAAGAUGAUCUUAACAUGUAUGGAUUAAAGAUUUUAUAAUGUUAUAAUCCAUAAGAUAUUAGUGAAUGAUAUGUAUAAAUCCAUAAUAUUCACUAAUUGCUUUAAGAAGAAAUUGAGCAUUUAAAAUUUUAAAAUCUAUGUCUUAGUGACAAAUAUAAUCAUGUAAAUAUUCACUAAGUUUUAAAAGAUUUAAAAUUUUCAUUUCAGUCUUUAAAGCCUUAGUAGUAAAACUUCACUUAAAACAAAAUUUCAUUUAAGCCCUUUGAAGUUAUAAUAAAUACUUAGAUUAAUACUUGAAAUAUUUCAUUUAAACCUUAGAAGUAUUAACUAAUUCUAAGCACUUUUCAAUUUGAAAACUUCAUGUAAAUAUUAAUUUUAAGUCCCUGAAGUUUUAACUAAAUAUUCACUGUAAUGAUAUCCUUUGAACCCUUAAUGAAAAACUUUAUAGAUAAUUUAAUCCCUUUGAAGUUAUAAUGAAUACUUAGAUUAAUACUUAAAAAAUUUCAUUUUAAACCUUGGAAGUAUUAAAUAUUUCUAAGUAAUUUUUUGAUUAAAACUUCUUGUAAAUAUUGAUUCUAAGUCCCUGAAGUUUUGACUAAAUUUAUAUUCACCGUAAAGUUAUCAUUUUGACCCUUAAGUUUUAGUGAAUCUUAAAAACUUCAUAAAUGAUUUACGUUUAAGUCCUUGAAGUUUCACAAAACUUUAUAUUCACUGAAAAAUAUAAUUUUAAUCCUUAAGUUUUCAGUGAAUCUAUUAAAACUUAAAAACUUCAUAAACGAUUUUCGUUUAAGUCCUUGAAGUUUCAUAAAACUUUAUAUUCACUGAAAAAUAUAACUUUAAUCCUUAAGUUUUCAGUGAAUCAUUUUAAACUUCAAAAAUAGUUUAUGUUUAAGCCCUUGAAAUUUUAAAGUUUAAGACUUUGAAAAGUCGAUUAAUACUUCAAAAGAAUUUUAUUUUUAUACCUUGAAGUAUUAGCUAAAAAUCCAUGCAGCCCUUAAAUAUUUGAUUGUUUAUUUUCUUACAUGCAUACCCUUAUAAUAAACUUCUAUGUGUUACUUGCAAAUGAUAUUUCAUUUAACUUCAAAUAAAACACAUAAUAUAGGAGAGUAGCAUGUGGUUCAAUCUCAAGUACAUGAGAUCAAGAUCCAUGGCUGGAUCUUCAAAAUAUAACAAAAUACAAGUACUCAAAACAUCAAACUACUUCUUAGGGCAGAUUCAGUUUAGUCAUGGUGAUGCAUGGUUGGAAUGACCUUGGAGCUAAACUCGUGAAAUAAGUUUGCAAGCUCCAGGUUGUAUUCUCUCUCAACAUCUAGCUGUUGCCUUGUUAUAGAUACCAUCUCUUCCAGAUCUCCCAUUCCUUUCUCCAGCAUCCUUACUUGAUGUCGAAUCCUUAUGAUUUCCUCAUUCAAAAACACAUUGGUGUCUUGUGAGUUUGGAUCAUAAGUAUUCUUCCAAGUCUUUUGGAAGGAGCUUGCAGUAAAUGGUUGGAUGUGAACUAUUAGUGGAUUGGGAAAGAGACAGAUUUCAAAGUACUCUGGACUGAGGAUUUUGGAGAGCAUCCUUGGGUAGUGACGUGCUCCAGUACUCCUUGUUGAUGUUGUCAUGUUAUGCAUGAUUAAGGAUGUCCAGUUUACCCUGAUCUUUGACAGUAAACAAUAGAUUGCUACUAAGACCAAUGUGGAUGGUUCUUCUUUAUCGUCAGCUUGAGGAUAAAUGUUGCACAGGAUUACUUUGAGGAAGAUGGAGGCUUCUGGUAUGAGCAUUGAUUUCAAUAUUUUUUCAGUGCUUUUAGGGUUAUACCUAUGAGUAAGAGUGUUCCAGAGAAUCUCCCAAUCGCACUUGAAGGGUAGCUCUCUAAGAUUUUUAUAAUUUUGAAUCUUUACUCCAUCAUUUGGUAGGUUAAUCCAUGUACUCAGUUUAUCAGCUUCGAGAAUCAGACGUAUUCCAUUCACCAUGGUUGUAAUCCUUUGUAUGCCUAUAGUGUUAUACUUGAGAUUGGCAUAGAACUGAGCCAGCUCUGAUUUUUAGAUCCUGAGUUGUCCGAUGUUCUCAAGAUAAUCAGAAAGUCUGUUAAAACUUAACAGGCCUUCGAUCACUUUGCAGUUGAGAGAUCUGAGCAGGACUGGUUCUUCAAAGAUCAUCCUUUGCUCGAGAAUGAGGUUGUAAGAUAACCUUGCCGUCGGAGAGAUCCACAUUGGUGAACCCUGGAAUAUUUCUGCCUUUGGAAUUCUUCUGGUGCGCUUUUUCCGUAUGGGAUUGCUACUGGAAGGGUUUGGAUGGUACACUGGACUUGAAGGGCAGUUAGGUGUGAUGAUAAGUUCCUCCUUAGGCUGUAGCAUAUUGAUUUCUUGAAUCAACAUGUUUGAGACAGAAUGAAUUUUAAGAUGGAAGAAGAUGAUAUGAUUUGUUUCUCUUCCUAUGCUUAUAUAGUGAUUUGAUUCACCUUAAGCUUAUCUAAAUGAUCUGUCCAGAUUCUUCAUGUACUGACAUUACUUGUGGAGUAACUAGUAAUGAUGAAGACAUCUUUAAGUCAUGUCUAACUUUGGAAGGUUAGCAACUUUAGGGUUUGAUUUUCUAAACACUACUUGGUGAAUCUUGAAAAGAUUCAUCCAGAUGUUUUAACAUUUCUUAGACAGAAAUUUUACCUUUUUAGAUGUCAAUCAGCUCUGAAUUUAGAUAUGUUCAGAUUUUCAAUUAGCUAACAUUGCUUGUAAAGCUUUUACAAGUGAGAUUAACUUUGGGUCAUGUCUAACUUGAACAGUUAGCAACUUUUAGGGUUUGUUUUUCAAUGAAUCAAACAACCCUACUUGGUGAAUUUGGACAGAUUUGUCUUAAUUCAACUCUUGUCAUUUCAGAUGUUUACACGAUCUGAAUUGAUUUUCUAUAUUUAUUUAAACAUACCUUUUGCAGUAAUCGACGCACUCCUUGCUUCAUCCACGAUAAUUCAUGCUUCAUUUUUCUACUUUUGCAGGCAGCGAUUGAUGUACUCGUGCAGUGUUGUAGCAGGAUUUCCUUUUUCCAGAUCUUCUUGAAGGGUUCUUGCACUGUGCAAGCCACACACCGGGUAUGGUGUCGAGAAUGACUGAUUGACUUGGCUGUGAUCUGUGGCUGGAUUUGUAAUGCUGACAAGAACUUUCAUUUCUCCAAUGUCGAGAUUUCUUGCUUGGUUUCAAGAUAAAAAGAGUUUGGUUUACCAAGAUCUGACAAUUGGCAUGUUUGCACAUUCCACCUGUACUUAUAAUAGAUAUAUAGAUUUGGAUAUUUCAUGUGAAUUUGAAUUUCAUUGUUAAUUUUGUAGUGACAUGGCAUGUUAGUUAAAUAGAUUUAAGCAUAAAUCAAGGAGUGCAUGUAUUAGUUAAGUGUCACACAUGUAACUUGAAGUUUUGCAUGUACGUAUUUUAAAUUUCAUAGACUUAUUUUGCAUGCAUACGAUUGUAACAUAUAUUUAUCAGAUGACUCUAAACAUGCAGAUGAUUAGUAAAACGUGACUCAGAUAUGUAUAGGAUUAGUUUCAUAAAUGGUUAUGAGUCAACGACUUUAGUAAGAAAAGGCUUAUGCUUAUGAUUGCAUGUCAUAUAGUUCAUUAACUUGCAUUAAAAAGAUAGUUCAUAACAUUAUUCAAAGAUAAUCAAGUGAUUGGUGAUAUAGGAUUAAUCUUAUAAUUUUCUCAAUUAUGUAUGUGAUGACAUGGAAUAUGUAUGAGUUAAAUAGUUAUACACGUAAGUCAAAACCAGUUGUUUGACCAUCAUGUAUUUAAGUAUUUCAUAUCAUCAUGCAUGCAUAUGAUUCAUUUACUUAUAGAUUCAUAGAUAAAUAUUAACAUGCAUUUAUAAGAUAAGUCAUAGUAUCAUGCUAAACUUAAAACAUGUGUGUUUAUAUCUUUAAGGACCAUAUACGUGUACAUGCAUAAUAUUGUAAUAUUUACUUUGCCAGGCAUGCAUUUAUCAGAUAGUCAUAUAUGCAUUUAGAUUUUCAUUUUACUAUGUCUAUUAAGCUAUGUUUGUUCAUCUCCAAUGAUUUGUUUUAUAAAAUGUAGGUUUCUAAGAUUCAUACUAGAUGGAAGUUCAGGGAUGAUGUUUUCUCUUGAUGAUCAUCUUCUAUAGGAAUGUCUUGAGGUAAUUGUUGAGUGAUUUCAAUUCCUUCUUUGAGAUGGAUUUAUCAAAGUCAACAUGUAGGGAUUCUAUCAAUAUUUGUCUUUUCUCAUAAGCUAUUUUAGGCAAUCUAGUUACUAAUUCUUCUUUAGAUACUUUAGAUAAUUUAGCAUAACUGGUGUGACCUAAAUGUCUAUGCCAUAAGAUCUUUUCAUCACUUGCAGCAAGUAUGCAGAAGUCAUGAGUUGAUUUAGACUUAUCAAAGUUUAUAGAAUAAGCAUUGCUUUUUCUAUAUACUUUGGCAAUAGUAACUCCCUCAGAGUUAAUGAUCAAACAAUUAUAUUUUUCAAAUUUUACUACACAACCUGAUUAGCAUAAGUCAAUUGGUGUUUAAGACCAUUUACUAAAUACCCAUUUCUUAAGAAUGGUUUUUCUAUAUUUCCUACAUUACCCCUACCUAGUACCUUUGUUGUUAUCAGCGAACUUGACCAUUUUAGUAGUAGGUAAGUCUAUCAAGUCUGUUAGUAGACUUGAUUCCCCAGUCAUGUGCCUUGUGCAUCCACUGUCGAGCGUCCAUUUUGACACUUGUUUUUCCUGAAAGAGUUAAAAUAUUCUUUGUACCCAUACUGAGUUGGGUCCGGAUGGAUUAGUAUACCUAAUUUGCGUAUAAUUUCUUAGCUCAUCCUUAGUCAUCCAUCUUUGUUUUGGAUGAUUCAUCUUAGAGUGAUUUUUCUUUUUCUUAAGAUGAAUGGGUUUUAUAUAGCUAGAUUCCCUUAUAAAAUAAUCAUUAUAAAUUGAGGCAUGUAAGGGUUUUUUAAUAGGUGUAUCUGAUUCAAACCCUAAGCCAAAUUUCUUUUGACCCAAGUUUGAACCUUGUAAUAUAUUAUUUAACUUGGAUGAACUAUUGAAGAAUUUUUGAAGAACACUAUUUUUCUCAUUUAUUCUUUUAAUUUGUAAUUGCAUGCUAUUAUGUUUUUCAGAUAAUUUUUGUAAAGUUUCUUCAUGCUCAAGUAUAAGUUUAUCCUUAGAUUUUAUUUCAGUUUUAAGCAUGAUUGUUUCUUUUUCUUUAUUUCUAAUGAUUUCCUCAAAAUUAUCUAUUUUUAAUUCUAACAAUUCAGCCCUAUCAUCAUUUAUUUCCUUAGGUUGAUUUUCUUCAGAUUCUAGAAUAUCGAGUAAUUCAAAAUUUUGACUCUUAAGUGUUUUAAUUUUUUCAUCUCCCUUUUUUAUUUUACUUGAGAGUUUAUGAUUUUCUUCUUUUAAUAACAUGCAUUCUUUUUGUGAUUCUUCUAAUUCUAUUGAAUGAUCAAUAUGUGAUUUAUUCAUGCAUUCUAGUCUUAAUGAUUUACUUAAUUUUUUCUCAGCUUUAUAUUUAUUCAUUAAUUCUAGAUAUGCUUCUUCUAAUGAAUUAAAUCUAGUAUUUGUAAAGUUUACCUCAGAGUCGUUCUCAUGAGCCAUGAGGCAGUCUUCUUGAUCUGACUCAGAAUCUGACCAGUGUACUUGAUGUGCUUUUUCUUUCUUUAGUAGAGGACAUUCAGGUCUGAUGUGUCCAGAUUCGCACAAGUAGCAGAUGGGCUCCUUUGAGUCUUUGUGGUUUUUACUCACUUUUCUGUCGGAAUUCUGAUAGUCUAUCCUUGAAUUUCUCUUUUCUUUCCUUUUUAUGAGAUGUCUCUUUAAAUGAUUUGUGAGCAUUGCCAAGUCAUCAUCAGAUGAUUCAUUAUCGAUUUGACUUUUGAGAGCAAUGUCCUUUUUCUCUUCUUUUGCUUUAGAGAUAAAUCUUUCUUCUUCAUAGGCCAUCAGAUUUCCGCAAAGUUCUACCACUGUGAGUUUGUUCAGAUCAUGAGAUUCUUGGAUAGCAUUCCUCUUUGAGUAGUAUUUGUUUGGAAGGCUCCUUAGAAUCUUGCUCACUUGCUUUUUCUCAGUUACUGGAUCUCCUAGUCCAGCCAGAUCAUUGACUAUUUGUGAUAGUCGAAUAUUCAUUUCCACGAUAGUCUCAUCUUCCCUCAUAGAGAAUCUUUCGAAUUGAGAAGUGGCAUGUAGUAGCUUGUCUUCCUUGACGUGGGAGGUUCCUUCAUGUAAAUCCUCCAAAGCUUUCCAUACCUUGUGAGCUGUAUCCAAGCAUCGAAUUCUGCUAUACUCAGAUUCAUUGAGGGCGCCAUAUAGUGCAUUCAAUGCUCUUGAGUUGUUGUUUUCAUUGAGGAUAUCCAUUGCUCCCCAAGUCUCUUCUUUGCUUAUUGGAAUCUCAUAAUCUUCCAAUAUGAUUUUCCAGACUCCAUUGUUGAUUGACUUUAAGUAUAAUUUCAUCUUGUUCUAUCAGAAGUCAUACUUUACUCCAUCGAACCUGGGAGGUUUGUUCGAUGCAAGACCAGUACUGUUUUCACCAUUUGAGGCCAUAGUUGUUGUUGUAAGAUGUUAGUCUGACUUCAACGGAACUUGGCUCUGAUACCACUUGUUGGAUCGAGAUCCGAGGCUAUAAGGGGGGAUAAUAGCCUCUUUUCGAUUUAUACAGGUUGAUUGCGGAAUUACCUGUAAAUGCUUAAUAAACAAAUGGUUGAACAAUAAUGAUAUAAAGAUAUUAUAAUUUUGAUUGAUAUAAUAAUGUAAUUAUUACUCUUCGAAGCUUACCACAGUAUAUGAAUACUGAGUCAACUUGCUUGAUAGUGUUUUACACAACUAUAGUAUAUGAAUACUAAGUUAUAUUGUAAACACAAAUUGUAUUGUAGAGUAAAUGACCAGAUAACUGGAUAUAUUGAUAAGCAAGUAAAUGACCAGAUAAUUGGACAUAUUGAUAAGCAAGUAAGUGACCAGAUAACUGGAUAUAUAUGAUAAGUAAUACUUGAACAAAUAUAAGGAUUUAAAGCAAUGAAUAUAACCUCAGAUGGUUGACCAGAUAACUGGAUGAGGGAUCUGCGUAAAGUAGUCAACCUCUGUAUUUGACCAGAUAACUGGAAGAGGGUUCCUUUUUAAUUAAGUGUUGUUGUUAGAUAUUUUAGAUAAAAUAUAAAACUAUAAUUAACAGAGAACAACACAAGAGAUUUAUACUGGUUCACCCAAACAAGGGCUAGUCCAGUCCCGACCAACUACCGGAAUUCACUCGCCUAAAGGUUAUGGCAAAACCUUAGAGUAUCAAGGAAACUCAUAAGAACCUCACUAAGUUUUAAGGCUACUUCGCUUAGGAACCAGUCUUUUACGGGUAGACUCACACCUUAGAGUAUCAAGGGCACUCUUAAGAACCUCUAACUUUUGCGGGUAAGUUAGUACGUUAGAGUAUCAAGAAACUCUUAAAAACCUCUCUAAGCUUUAAGGCUACUUCGCUUAGGAACCAGUCUUUUACGGGUAGACUCACACCUUAGAGUAUCAAGGGCACUCUUAAGAACCUCUAACUUUUACGGGUAAGUUAGUACCUUAGAGUAUUAAGGAACUCUUAAAAACCUCUGAAAUCUUUAAAGGUAGACUCGACCUAAGAGUUUUCCUGAAAACUCUAUAAAACCAAACUAGAGCUUUAUGGUUGAGCUCAAAAACCUUCUCUCACACUUUGGUACUAUUAAGACAACCCUCUCAACCAAAGUGGACACACACAAGAGGUGAUUAGAGGAGUGGAAUAUUAAAUAAACAACACUUCUUACUUGUAAAGAUGAACAAGAAGAUUAGAAGAAGAAGUUGGAGAGCUUUUGAAGCUUUGGAAAGGUAGGACACUUGAGCACUUGAAAGCUUGGAAGCUUGGAGGCAAAAACGUGUG
rnacentral:lncRNA from 1 species